rnacentral:rRNA from 1 species
GGGUCAGUAGGUUGGUCGUGCCACCGGGACGUACUGGUCUCACUGAUUCCUCCUUCCUGAAGAACCGUAAUGCCAUUAAUUUGGUGUUGCGGGGAAACAGGACUGUUACUUUGAAAAAAUUAGAGUGUUUAAAGCAAGCUAACGCUUGAAUACAUUAGCAUGGAAUAAUGAAAUAGGACGAUCGAUCCUAUUUUGUUGGUUUCUAGGAUUGACGUA